UAGUCUUUUAAUUGAAGGCUGGUAUGAAUGGUUGGACAAAAUAUUAACUGUUUCAUAGAAAUUUAUAAUAAAAUUUUAUUUUUUAGUAAAAAAGCUAAAAUUUAUUUAAAAGACGAGAAGACCCUAUAAAUCUUUAUAUUAAUAUUAUUAUAAUUUUAUAGAAUUAUUAAAUUAUUAUAAUUUUUAAUAUUUUAUUGGGGUGAUAAUAAAAUUUAAUAAACUUUUAUUUUUAUUUUCAUUAAUUAAUGAAUUAUUGAUCCGUUAUUAACGAUUAAAAAAAUAAGUUACUUUAGGGAUAACAGCGUAAUUUUUUUGGAGAGUUCACAUUAAUAAAAAAGAUUGCGACCUCG
rnacentral:rRNA from 1 species